GACGAACGCUGGCGGCGUGCUUAACACAUGCAAGUCGAACGAUGAAGCCGGAGCUUGCUCUGGUGAAUUAGUGGCGAACGGGUGAGUAACACGUGAGUAACCUGCCCUUGACUCUGGGAUAACUGCGGGAAACUGUAGCUAAUACCGGAUACGACCCUCGGAGGCAUCUCCUGGGGGUGGAAAGAAUUUCGGUCAAGGAUGGACUCGCGGCCUAUCAGCUAGUUGGUGAGGUAAAGGCUCACCAAGGCGACGACGGGUAGCCGGCCUGAGAGGGUGACCGGCCACACUGGGACUGAGACACGGCCCAGACUCCUACGGGAGGCAGCAGUGGGGAAUAUUGCACAAGGGGCGCAAGCCUGAUGCAGCAACGCCGCGUGAGGGAGGACGGCCUUCGGGUUGUAAACCUCUUUUAGCAGGGAAGAAGCGAAAGUGACGGUACCUGCAGAAAAAGCACCGGCUAACUACGUGCCAGCCGCCGCAGUAA
rnacentral:rRNA from 1 species